CAAGUGCGAAAUGUAGUGCAAUCUGCAUGAAUCUGCGAGUCAUUUAAUCUUUGAACGCAACUUGCGCCGGUUUACCGGCAUGUCUGUUUGAGUACCGCUUGAUAUUUAAUGAAUUGAGGUCUAUCUGUGGAUUGCCUUUAAAGAAAGUAUGAGAGUGAUGAAUCGGUGAUUUAUGUGCCAAAGGCCCACGUGGUCUGAAUCAUAGAAUCCACUUGAUGAAUCAUCGAAUAGAUCAACUAUUCAAACUACCCAUAUAUGGUCUCAAAUCAGGCAAGAUUACCCGCUGAACUUAA
rnacentral:misc_RNA from 1 species